rnacentral:ncRNA from 14 species
GAGAUAUGGCGUAGUCGGCUAACGCAUACGCUUGAUAAGCGUAAGAGCCCAGGUUCGAGCCCUGGUGUUUCC